CUGAAAUACAAGAGAGGAUGGAGAAAAGGAAGUCACAGUAUUUUCAGAUCCUUCCAGAAGGAGUCUCACCAGGUUGCCAAGAAAUGGAAAAGAAAUAAGAACACCUGUAUUCCAAUGAGUGUACCAACUUACUCCUUUGAGGAGUGCUGGUUUUCAAGAACUACAAGAUGGCAUUGG